UCCGGUUUGUCACCGGCAGUCUCCCUAGAGUGCCCUUGCGUAGCAACUAGGGACAAGGGUUGCGCUCGUUGCGGGACUUAACCCAACAUCUCACGACACGAGCUGACGACAGCCAUGCACCACCUGUUUGGGGCCCCGAAGGACACCGUAUUUCUACGGCUUUUCCCCAAAUGUCAGGCCCAGGUAAGGUUCUUCGCGUUGCAUCGAAUUAAGCCACAUGCUCCGCCGCUUGUGCGGGCCCCCGUCAAUUCCUUUGAGUUUCAGCCUUGCGGCCGUACUCCCCAGGCGGGGCACUUAAUGCGUUAGCGCCGGCACUCAGAGGGUCGCUCCCCCAAGCACCUAGUGCCCAUCGUUUACGGCGUGGACUAC
rnacentral:misc_RNA from 1 species